GGCGGUUCCCUCCUGCAGGCGCACCUGUUCCGCGUUUACCAAUCAAGCCGACUGCCAAACUGCUUAGUUUUUUUUCUUUUCUGCCAUGUUGGAUUGUUGACCGUGCUUGCUGCAGUCCUUGAAGUGUUGUUUUCUUGACCUCUCAGCACUCUCCAUCGUCGCUCUCGUCAUUCGUAAAUUCUAGUUUGCUGGGUGAAAUGAGGACUCGUACUCCAUAUCAGUUGGUGGCAUUAAUGCGGCAUUGAAUUGUCUGCCAACCGCCAUGACAAAACCAAAAGAAGACCAAAGGAGAUGAAAGGCGGAGAGCCGCGAGGAGGAGGAGGAGGCGGCACAUAGUGACCUUAUCUCCCAAUCAUCUUUACCAGUUUUGCUGUAUGUGAUACAACAAACCAUUUUAUUAAAAAAUCAUGACGCAUAUCUGAUGGCAAAACGCGUCCGAGAACAGCAAAUAUAUGAAUGAAACUCAUUAAAAAAAAAAAAUGUUG